rnacentral:rRNA from 1 species
AUUGAACGCUGGCGGCAGGCCUAACACAUGCAAGUCGAGCGGAUGAAGGGAGCUUGCUCCUGGAUUCAGCGGCGGACGGGUGAGUAAUGCCUAGGAAUCUGCCUGGUAGUGGGGGAUAACGUCCGGAAACGGGCGCUAAUACCGCAUACGUCCUGAGGGAGAAAGUGGGGGAUCUUCGGACCUCACGCUAUCAGAUGAGCCUAGGUCGGAUUAGCUAGUUGGUGGGGUAAAGGCCUACCAAGGCGACGAUCCGUAACUGGUCUGAGAGGAUGAUCAGUCACACUGGAGCUGAGACACGGUCCAGACUCCGACGGGAGGCAGCAGUGGGGAAUAUUGGACAAUGGGCGAAAGCCUGAUCCAGCCAUGCCGCGUGUGUGAAGAAGGUCUGCGGAUUGUAAAGCACUUUAAGUUGGGAGGAAGGGCAGUAAGUUAAGACCUUGCUGUUUUGACGUUACCAACAGAAUAAGCACCGGCUAACUUCGG